CACGUAGGGGGCAAGCGUUGUCCGGAUUUAUUGGGCGUAAAGAGCUCGUAGGCGGCUCAGUAAGUCGGGUGUGAAACCUCCAGGCUCAACCUGGAGACGCCACCCGAUACUGCUGUGGCUUGAGUCCGGUAGGGGAGCGUGGAAUUCCUGGUGUAGCGGUGAAAUGCGCAGAUAUCAGGAGGAGCACCGGUGGCGAAGGCGGGGUCUCUGGGGCAACAACUGACGCUGAGGAGCGAAAAGCGUGGGGGAGCGAAACAGG
rnacentral:rRNA from 1 species